CCCUUAGACGUUCUGGGCCGCACGCGCGCUACACUGACCAGUGCAACAAGCAUCCGUCCUUGGCCGACAGGCUCGGGCAAUCUUUGAACGCUGGUCGUGAUGGGGAUAGACUUUUGCAAUUUUUGGUCUUCAACGAGGAAUUCCUAGUAAACGCAAGUCAUCAACUUUCAUUGAUUACGUCCCUGCCCUUUGUACACACCGCCCGUCGCACCUACCGAUUGAAUGGUCCGGUGAAGCCUCCGGAUUGGCGCGCACCUCGGUGCCGCCGAGAAGUUGGCUAAACCUUACCAUUUAGAGGAAGGUGAAGUCGUAACA
rnacentral:rRNA from 1 species